rnacentral:lncRNA from 1 species
UCAAGACUUGCACACGCAUCCUGUCACGCGCAGGCGUGCUGUCCAUACGUCACUUCACGCACAGACUGGCACGGCACAUUGUGCGCGCGUCGUCUGUGCUACAGGCCUACGCGGACAUACCCUAUGUGCCUAGGGCCUGAGUAGUGGGCCUGCGCGUGCGGCGCCCAGUACAUAUAGGCUCAGUGACCGCGGCAACAGGCCUGUGUGCCUACAGGCUAGUCUGCAGCCCGUCAGCCAGGCUCUGUCACCUCAAGCAGAGAUCCACCGCUGCCUUAAGCAACGCGCCACCACCGCCGGAGGAAGAAAUUUUCCUCCCUCAUUUUUCAUGCCAAUAAACUUUUCAUUCUCUCUCUUCACAAGAUUUUGCCACUUGGCACUAAUCCAAUGGUUCUGA